rnacentral:rRNA from 1 species
GACGAACGCUGGCGGCGUGCUUAACACAUGCAAGUCGAACGGAAAGGCCCUGCUUUUGUGGGGUGCUCGAGUGGCGAACGGGUGAGUAACACGUGAGUAACCUGCCCUUGACUUUGGGAUAACUUCAGGAAACUGGGGCUAAUACCGGAUAGGAGCUCCUGCUGCAUGGUGGGGGUUGGAAAGUUUCGGCGGUUGGGGAUGGACUCGCGGCUUAUCAGCUUGUUGGUGGGGUAGUGGCUUACCAAGGCUUUGACGGGUAGCCGGCCUGAGAGGGUGACCGGCCACAUUGGGACUGAGAUACGGCCCAGACUCCUACGGGGGGCAGCAGUGGGGAAUAUUGCACAAUGGGCGGAAGCCUGAUGCAGCAACGCCGCGUGCGGGAUGACGGCCUUCGGGUUGUAAACCGCUUUCGCCUGUGACGAAGCGUGAGUGACGGUAAUGGGUAAAGAACCACCGGCUAACUACGUG